rnacentral:rRNA from 1 species
AUUGAACGCUGGCGGCAGGCCUAACACAUGCAAGUCGAGCGGAUGAAGGGAGCUUGCUCCUGGAUUCAGCGGCGGACGGGUGAGUAAUGCCUAGGAAUCUGCCUGGUAGUGGGGGAUAACGUCCGGAAACGGGCGCUAAUACCGCAUACGUCCUGAGGGAGAAAGUGGGGGAUCUUCGGACCUCACGCUAUCAGAUGAGCCUAGGUCGGAUUAGCUAGUUGGUGGGGUAAAGGCCUACCAAGGCGACGAUCCGCAACUGGUCUGAGAGGAUGAUCAGUCACACUGGAACUGAGACACGGUCCAGACUCCUACGGGAGGCAGCAGUGGGGAAUAUUGGACAAUGGGCGAAAGCCUGAUCCAGCCAUGCCGCGUGUGUGAAGAAGGUCUUCGGAUUGUAAAGCACUUUAAGUUGGGAGGAAGGGCAGUAAGUUAAUACCUUGCUGUUUUGACGUUACCAACAGAGUAAGCACCGGCUAACUUCGUG